rnacentral:rRNA from 1 species
CCUACGGGAGGCUGCAGUGGGGAAUAUUGCACAAUGGGCGCAAGCCUGAUGCAGCCAUGCCGCGUGUGUGAAGAAGGCCUUCGGGUUGUAAAGCACUUUCAGCGGGGAGGAAGGCGUUAAGGUUAAUAACCUUGUCGAUUGACGUUACCCGCAGAAGAAGCACCGGCUAACUCCGUGCCAGCAGCCGCGGUAAUACGGAGGGUGCAAGCGUUAAUCGGAAUUACUGGGCGUAAAGCGCACGCAGGCGGUCUGUCAAGUCGGAUGUGAAAUCCCCGGGCUCAACCUGGGAACUGCAUUCGAAACUGGCAGGCUAGAGUCUUGUAGAGGGGGGUAGAAUUCCAGGUGUAGCGGUGAAAUGCGUAGAGAUCUGGAGGAAUACCGGGGGCGAAGGCGGCCCCCUGGACAAAGACUGACGCUCAGGUGCGAAAGCGUGGGGAGCAAACAGGAUUAAUACCCCAGUAGUC